rnacentral:rRNA from 1 species
UAGAGUUUGAUCCUGGCUCAGGACGAACGCUGGCGGCGUGCCUAACACAUGCAAGUCGAGCGGGGACAUUUAACGGAUCGGAAGUUUUCGGAUGGAAGUGAAGAUAAAUGUUCUAGCGGCGGACGGGUGAGUAACGCGUGAGCAACCUGUCCUUCACAGGGGGAUAACACAGCGAAAGUUGUACUAAUACCGCAUAAGACCACAACGGGACAUCCCGAAGGGGUCAAAGGAGCAAUCCGGUGAAGGGUGGGCUCGCGUCCGAUUACAUAGCUGGUGAGGUAACGGCCCCCCAGGGCGACGAUCUGUAGCCGAUCUGAGAGGUGAUCGGACCGAUCAUGACUGAUACACGUC